AUUCGCGAUGAAGACUUCAUAAAAUUCAAGCUCAACAGACCGGAAUGCAGGCUUCUCUAUUAAUUUAGAGAAUUUUGCGUGUCGAUUAUCUCAUGAACUGAGCGAUC